rnacentral:sRNA from 2 species
GAACCAGUCUCGCUAAAUCUCCUAACUAUUGGAGAACGGGGGAACCAAUAUGACUGAUACUGAUUAUUGAUAGACACAGGCAUAUCUGAUUUCUUUUAUUGGGUCUUUGGGGUGAAUUCAAGGGCAUCCGCCAUGAGCGGUUGACCUAAGAUCGGGCGGCUCUCUUUCGUCCAAACCCGACAGCUAACCUCGUAAGCGCAAUGAAGAGAGGCA